rnacentral:rRNA from 1 species
GGUGAAAAGCACCCCGGAAGGGGAGUGAAAUAGAACCUGAAACCGUGUGCUUACAAGUAGUCAGAGCCCGUUAAUGGGUGAUGGCGUGCCUUUUGUAGAAUGAACCGGCGAGUUACGAUUUGAUGCAAGGUUAAGCAGUAAAUGUGGAGCCGUAGCGAAAGCGAGUCUGAAUAGGGCGUUUAGUAUUUGGUCGUAGACCCGAAACCAGGUGAUCUACCCUUGGUCAGGUUGAAGUUCAGGUAACACUGAAUGGAGGACCGAACCGACUUACGUUGAAAAGUGAGCGGAUGAACUGAGGGUAGCGGAGAAAUUCCAAUCGAACCUGGAGAUAGCUGGUUCUCUCCGAAAUAGCUUUAGGGCUAGCCUCAAGUGAUGAUUAUUGGAGGUAGAGCACUGUUUGGACGAGGGGCCCCUCUCGGGUUACCGAAUUCAGACAAACUCCGAAUGCCAAUUAAUUUAACUUGGGAGUCAGAACAUGGGUGAUAAGGUCCGUGUUCGAAAGGGAAACAGCCCAGACCACCAGCUAAGGUCCCAAAAUAUAUGUUAAGUGGAAAAGGAUGUGGCGUUGCCCAGACAACUAGGAUGUUGGCUUAGAAGCAGCCAUCAUUUAAAGAGUGCGUAAUAGCUCACUAGUCGAGUGACACUGCGCCGAAAAUGUACCGGGGCUAAACAUAUUACCGAAGCUGUGGAUUGUCCUUUGGACAAUGGUAGGAGAGCGUUCUAAGGGCGUUGAAGCAUGAUCGUAAGGACAUGUGGAGCGCUUAGAAGUGAGAAUGCCGGUGUGAGUAGCGAAAGACGGGUGAGAAUCCCGUCCACCGAUUGACUAAGGUUUCCAGAGGAAGGCUCGUCCGCUCUGGGUUAGUCGGGUCCUAAGCUGAGGCCGACAGGCGUAGGCGAUGGAUAACAGGUUGAUAUUCCUGUACCACCUAUAAUCGUUUUAAUCGAUGGGGGGACGCAGUAGGAUAGGCGAAGCGUGCGAUUGGAUUGCACGUCUAAGCAGUAAGGCUGAGUAUUAGGCAAAUCCGGUACUCAUUAAGGCUGAGCUGUGAUGGGGAGAAGACAUUGUGUCUUCGAGUCGUUGAUUUCACACUGCCGAGAAAAGCCUCUAGAUAGAAAAUAGGUGCCCGUACCGCAAACCGACACAGGUAGUCAAGAUGAGAAUUCUAAGGUGAGCGAGCGAACUCUCGUUAAGGAACUCGGCAAAAUGACCCCGUAACUUCGGGAGAAGGGGUGCUCUUUAGGGUUAACGCCCAGAAGAGCCGCAGUGAAUAGGCCCAAGCGACUGUUUAUCAAAAACACAGGUCUCUGCU